ensembl:lncRNA
CACGUUUGAGGCACAGAGUCGGGCGGGGGCCCAGGCUGACCAGGGCCGAGCCCCCCCCGCAUUUUGGGCCUGGGAAAAGUAAGAGCGCUAUCUGUAGGCGUGCGACGCCGUAAGCUCACAUUUGUUUGGUGUUCGAUAUGCACGUAUAGUGUGUUAACUGUGGAUCCUCGCAAUCCUCUAAGGUAGCUACCGUUUUACAGACAGGGAAACUGGCAUACGGAGAGCUUAACUAGCUCAAGGUCACCCAGCAAGCAGAUGGUAGGGCUGACACGUGAACCUAGCAUCCUGGCUCCCAGACUCUGAAUCCUUAGCGCCUGUGUGAGGCUGUCUCCAUCAGUAUAAUAGAGAAAGGGAGCCAGUGUGUGGAGAAGAGGAAGCUUCCAGCCAAGUGGUGAUGCCUCCUGGGGCUCCUGAGAGGAAGGCCUACUUGCAGAGGCCGGGAUGCCUGGGUAGCCUUUCCGGGCUAUCUGACCCUACGCUGUCUGUUGUCGAGGAGGAGGGGGAGCCACUGGAAGUGAUCGGCACUGGGCUGAGUGCUCCGUACAGCUGUCACUGGAAGAACCUCUGGGCCAGGACUCCACUUUCUGACCCUCAGGGGGGCACGGAACGAGGGAGGUGAAAAUUGCCGGGUGCGUGGCUUGGAGGAGGGCGGACACAGGAGCGUACUCUACUUGCCUCCCAUGAAACCUUCACACCCCUUAACGGGAGUGGCCAGAUUUGGAGGUGCCUGAUGUGGAAUCGAAGCGUGCCUGUGUCGUAUUUGGUAAACCGUAAAAUGUCACGGGGAAGCUGUAUGCAUAAAAUACUGUUACUGCACGCAGACGCCUCAACGGUCAAGGGCAGCCAGUGGUCAAAGGUGAUUGCCCUGCCAUGGUAAUUUCCAGCCGUGAUUUGGUGAUGCGUUGCUACGGCCGGUCCUCCCAGCCUCGUGUGGGAAGUUCCUCUAGCUCUGGAUGCUUUUCAUUUGUGUCCUCUUCCAGCUGGUUCCACCAGCGGCUUGGCGGAGAAGACACCCUGCCCGAAGCCAGGCUCUCCAGGAGCUUCCUUCUCCCCUCACCCACCUGCGGGGCUCUUACCCUCCUGGUAAGUUUCUUCUCCAGCCAUUUGCCUCUCCUGCUGUAUAUUAGGACCCCCACGACUCCAUUUCAGGCUCUCCUCCCAGUAUGGAACUGAGGGGGGAAUAUGGAAAGCAGAGUUUUGUUUUAUUUUGUGAAAUUGCUGUUUCUGAGAGUCCGUGUGUUACAUACAGUAAGAAAAAUCCCCAGACCAGGCAUGACCCAGACACUGGUUCCUAUCACUUUAUUUUUCUUUCCUAGUUUUCUCAUCUGUAUAAUGGGAGAAUACAGAAACUCUGCUAGCUGCUAUGCUAGGGACUUUUACAGUUUGCAUGCAGUUUAAUCGUCACCACUAGCCUGCACAGCAGGCAAUAUCCCCAUGUCAUAGAAGAGAAAACUGAGGCCAGAGAAGUUUAUUUACCAAGGCUCAUCCAGUUAGUAAAUGGCAGUAUUUCCUCCCUCCCCUGUUCUCCCUUGUUGAAUAAUUCUGCAAAUCAAAUGAUUUGGUAAUGAAUGAAAAGCUGCCUUAAAAAGUAUAAAGCACUUUGUAAAUAUAAGGGAGUAUACCUUAAAAAAAUUUUUUUUUAACAUUUAUUUAUUUUUGAGAGACAGAGCAUGAGCUGGGGAGGGGCAAAGAGAGAGAAGGAGACACAGAAUCCGAAGCAGCCUGCAGGCUCUGAGCAAGCUGUCAGCUACAGAGCCUGAUGCAGGGCUCGAACCCACAAACUGUAAGAUCAUGACCUGAGCCGAAGUCGGAUGCUCAACCGAGGAUGCUCAACCGACUGAGCCACCCAGGCGCCCCAGGGAGUAUUCUUAAAAUACUGAGGUCCCUCCCUUGCUUUCUUCCCUCUCCUUUUCUGUCACCUCCCUGAAAAGUAAGCAGCUGCCGUUGGUCCAGACCUAUCUAAAGAAAUGCCAUAAAACCAUUUUUCAAAAUGUCAAAUGCCUGUGUGCUUUAGCCCAAAGUAAUUAAGCCCUUUUAUUUUCACCAAGUCACAAUGCAGAACCCUGGGAGCUUCCAGAAUGUGCCCUUUCUCCUCCAUCCUGAACUAAUGGAAAUCAAGGCUGAAGGCUGAGCUUGCAGGGAUGCCCACGAGAGCCCUUUAGUGUCACCGAGG